AAUGGACUCGCUUAUCUUUGGGCUGCCACUCACCUCUCUGCUGCGCGCGGCUGAAUUGCCAUAGCAACGCGGCGAGGAGCACGAGCCGGAGCCGCGCCAUGUUUGUCCGGUGUGAGCUAUCUGCGACUGUGCGCUGCCACCAGGACACAACUUCAUCCAAACUUUGCACUCCUCCUCUUCCUCCGCUCUCUCUCCUCCUUCCCCGUGUGGUCUGCGGGGGAAACAAGAGGGAAAAUGCAGAGAGCCUGGUGCUGCGGAGAGUAAGGCUGAAGAAGGGCUCUCUUCCCUGGGCUUGAAGCACCUGGGUGCCCUGAUGCACUGCUGGUUCUCUGUGGUCCUGGAUAAAGUCAAGGCUAUGUCAGGACCGGACGGCAAGGUUUUUUCAGGCAGAUGUUGAGAUACAGAUGUUGACCUACCAUUAUGAGUCAAACAGAACUGGUUCAAAUUCCAUGGCACCAGAUUUAAAAACAACUGAAAUAGAUCCCAGACCUGACCUGGCUGGAUCACUAAUAGAGUCCAACCAGAACAACAAGAACCCCUACUGGACCCGCUGUAACAAGAACCGUUCUCACAACGAGAGGAAGAGAACAAGACUUUUCAAUCCAACCAUCACAUCUUAGGAAGCUAACUAGAAUGUGACAAAUGUGAUUAAGGUGAAGGAGACAAACCCAUUUCAAAUAAAUACUUCUACUCAGAUUAGUUUUUUUGUAUUAACAUAUCUCAAGUAAUUACAGCUUAAAUUUGUAUUUUGUCUAUUCAUUUUUGUUGUUUUCCAAACCUCAUUUACUAUGAUACAUGUAUUUGAUCAUUGAUUUUGAUGACUUCUUGUUUUUUCUGAUAAAAUGCUGAUAUUAAUCAAAUAAUAAUAAGUAGGGCUGUCAAAGUUAACAACUAACCAAUGAUUGGAAAACACAUUUUUUUAAAGUAAGUAAUUAUAUUAACUUAUUUUGCCAAAAAUGUAACUGAAUUACUAAUGGAAUUAAUUACUAGACUAGUAAAUAUUGCAUUAAUGUAAAACAAAAAACAAAAAAAAUCUUCAUAUAUUUGGCAUAUUUGUGUUGUAGAAUAUUGGUUGGAAAAUGCAUCGGUCUAAUCAACUUCAGAACCUAACAUUGAUUAAAAGUUGUCAAAAAGCAUGUUGUUUCAACAUUGUAUUUGUGUUGCAGAAUAUUGAUUGGGGAAUAACCAAAACUCAAUGGUCAA